GUGCUCACUUCAGCAGCACAUAUACUAAAAUUGUAACGAUACAGAGAUUAGUACGUCCACAUGCAAGGAUGAUAGGCAAAUUUGUGAAGUAGUCUAUAUUUUU
ensembl:snRNA U6 U6 spliceosomal RNA